GCGUGAAUGACGAAGGUCUUAGGAUUGUAAAGUUCUUUUAGUGGGGAAGAUAAUGACGGUACCCACAGAAAAAGCUCCGGCUAACUCCGUGCCAGCAGCCGCGGUAAUACGGAGGGAGCUAGCGUUGUUCGGAAUUAUUGGGCGUAAAGCGCGUGUAGGCGGUUUAGUAAGUUGGAAGUGAAAUCCCAAGGCUUAACCUUGGAACUGCUUCCAAAACUGCUAGGCUAGAGUAUGCAAGAGGGUGACGGAAUUCCUAGUGUAGAGGUGAAAUUCUU
rnacentral:rRNA from 1 species